UGUAUCAGAACCCUCCUCUGCUGAGCACAGAACCAGCGUGACUGCGAGAUAAAAAAAACAGCAAUCUGAUUGAGAGGGGAAGCAACAGAGUGCUGGAAAAUGUAUGUGAAGAGAGGAGAUGGUGUUGAAGAGGAGUAUAUUUGCACCAAUGCCACAGGUGGAUGGAGGAUUACAUAAAUGGUCCUGCCACUGAGUGCUGGUGACAUCCACAGCAUUUUAAGAAAUGCUGGAAAUAGCUGAAGAAAAUCGAGCACCCAGGAAGAAGAGGCUGUUUAUCACUGCUUGGGUCUCAGCCCUUUGGAUAACGG